AUUUUUAUUGUUGGUGGUUAUGUCGUGGGUGUUUUAAAAACGAAAAAAUCAGGCUGCAUUAAUGGGUCGACGUAGUAGGUCGAAAUCUCCUUUUGGGCCAGGGAGACGACAGGAUAAAGAAAGGGAUAGAGAACGGGAACGAGACAAGGAACGACACAGAAGGAAAAGAUUAGAGAUAGAUCGCGAGAAAGGGAUAGGGAAAGGAGACGUCAUUCCCAUGAAAGACGACGUCUGUCACGUUCAAGGAGCAGAUCCCGUUCGCGUUCCCUUGGGAGGAAAAGCGGGCUUCUUGCCGACCGACCCACAGUAACUGCAGCUGAUCUGGAAGGAAAAACUGAGGACCAACAGGACAUGAUGAGACUGAUGGGUUUCUGUUCUUUCGAUACAACGAAAGGUAAAAAAGUUGAAGGGAAUGAUGCAGGUACAGUACAUGUGAUUCUCAAAAGAAAGUACAGACAAUACAUGAACCGAAAGGGAGGUUUUAACAGACCGUUGGACUUCGUAGCUUAACAGGCUCAUCUUUUCUGUAAUUUGAACAACCACUAUUUACCUCAUAACCAGGUUCAUACUGCAGAUAAUCAAACAGUGGGCAUUAAACUACUCAUUACUCGUCUAUGUCAUGUUUCACCCAUUUAUAUCUCAGCUAUUUUGAUGGACACAUUGUUAAUAAUGAGAUUUGGAAUAACAACAUUCAUAAUGCAACAGAUCAGUUACAAGUAGGAAUUCAUACAAUCGAGCGCAGAAAUUUCACUUUACCCUCUUCAAUUUUAGCUAAUUAAGAUAUAAGAUCGUUCAAUUCAUUCAAAUUCAUUAUUCCCUAAGGCUUGGUGUAACGCUAGUAAAGUCCAAAUUAUUGUCCAAUUUUCUACCAGGUGAUUACAUACAGCUGAAGUAAACAUAACUGUUUUUUAUAAGUUAGAUAAGAUUUUUAUGUCGAACAGAUUUUAAGGGUUCUCAACCAAAGGACUGAGAAUUUCUUGCAUUAACCUACGCAAAGGCACUAUGCAGCCGAUUUAUUUCAUUCAUAUUCAAAUAGGUAGGUCCAGUAUUCCUCUUUAAUCCGAACUAAUUAUUGCAAGGCAGGGGCGGAUUAAAGCUUUACGAGGCCUGGGACUGAAAUUCAUAUAGGAUCCACGUAAAUUUUGAAAAUUCAGAGUUCGCGGGUCCUGGGACUUCAGCCCCUGGUUGCCCCUUGGUUAAUCCGCCACUGUUGCACGGGCAAAUAAUCAAAAUUUCUUUAUUUUUACUGCAAAUUUUACUAGAUAACCGAAAGUAUAAAAUAUGC
rnacentral:lncRNA from 1 species